rnacentral:rRNA from 1 species
GAUGAACGCCGGCGGCGUGCCUAAUACAUGCAAGUCGAGCGAAUGGAUUAAGAGCUUGCUCUUAUGAAGUUAGCGGCGGACGGGUGAGUAACACGUGGGUAACCUGCCCAUAAGACUGGGAUAACUCCGGGAAACCGGGGCUAAUACCGGAUAAUAUUUUGAACUGCAUGGUUCAAAAUUGAAAGGCGGCUUCGGCUGUCACUUAUGGAUGGACCCGCGUCGCAUUAGCUAGUUGGUGAGGUAACGGCUCACCAAGGCAACGAUGCGUAGCCGACCGGAGAGGGUGAUCGGCCACACUGGGACUGAGACACGGCCCAGACUCCAACGGGAGGCAGCAGUAGGGAAUCUUCCGCAAUGGACGAAAGUCUGACGGAGCAACGCCGCGUGAGUGAUGAAGGCUUUCGGGUCGUAAAACUCUGUUGUUAGGGAAGAACAAGUGCUAGUUGAAUAAGCUGGCACCUUGACGGUACCUAACCAGAAAGCCACGGCUAACUACGUGCCAGCAGCCGCCGUAA